UACAGAGGUCUCGAGCGUUGUUCGGAUUCAUUGGGCGUAAAGGGUGCGUAGGUGGCGCCGUAAGUCGGGUGUGAAAUUUCGGAGCUUAACUCCGAAACUGCAUUCGAUACUGCGGUGCUUGAGGACUGGAGAGGAGACUGGAAUUCCUGGUGUAGCGGUGAAAUGCGCAGAUAUCAGGAGGAACACCGGUGGCGAAGGCGGGUCUCUGGGCAACAACCGACGCUGAGGAGCGAAAGCGUGGGGAGCGAACAGG
rnacentral:rRNA from 1 species